AACACAACAUGUAUAUUCUUAAUUUACAUCAUUAGCCGUCUUAAUUUAACUGUUGCAUGACCAUACAAUCUGCGGUCUAAACAACUGCCUGCCUUGAAUGAGUAGUAUUAGUAUGUGUAAAAUAGUCCUAACCAUUUUAUGCACCAAUUUAAUAAGGAAUAGCUCAGCUCCAGCAGAAAUGGGAUAUCACACAGCUACAGGACAUGCGCAACUGUUUUGAAAUCUCUGGGGCGUCCAGACAAGCCUGAACCAGUGGCCCUCUCUGCCUUGCAUUCUGAGUAGGAAUGUGGAGCCCUGCCCUGUCUGGUGAAGGAGCCUCUCCACCCAUGCACACUUCUGCCACGCAACUCUCUCCCCUCUGCUGCUACAGUCUUCAUUACUGCACACUCCUUGCACUCUCUUGUCACUUCAUUCACUGUGAAGUGUUCUGAGAUUCACUUUAGGCGAGGGCAGGGUUGGCCUCUGCACGGCGAACAACGCAGCACACCACACAAGGCGUCGGAAUCUGACAAGGGGUCUGCAUGUGGAGGAAGGAGGGGCCUCGCUGACACAACUGUGCUACCUCAUCUGCACGAAGAAGCUAUGCUCAGAGAAGCAGAGAAGCUGGGAUGGGCAGCUUACAGGAGCGUGGUCAGGAGACCAGGCCAGGAAGAUCCACUCGUAGCCCUGGUUGUUGGUGGAGUCAAGGCGGUAUAAGAUGUAACAUGGCAUAUCAUCCUCCAG